rnacentral:rRNA from 1 species
AACGAGCGCUGGCGGCAGGCCUAACACAUGCAAGUCGAGCGCCCCGCAAGGGAGCGGCGGACGGGUGAGUAACGCGUGGGAACGUGCCUCUUGCUACGGAAUAGCCUCGGGAAACUGGGAGUAAUACCGUAUGUGCCCUACGGGGGAAAGAUUUAUCGGCAAGAGAUCGGCCCGCGUUGGAUUAGGUAGUUGGUGGGGUAAUGGCCUACCAAGCCGACGAUCCAUAGCUGGUUUGAGAGGAUGAUCAGCCACACUGGGACUGAGACACGGCCCAGACUCCUACGGGAGGCAGCAGUGGGGAAUCUUAGACAAUGGGCGCAAGCCUGAUCUAGCCAUGCCGCGUGAGCGAUGAAGGCCUUAGGGGUUGUAAAAGCUCUUUCAGUGGGAAGAUAAUGACUGUACCCACAGAAGAAGCCCCGGCUAACUCCGUGCCAGCAGCCGCGGUAAU